AGGAUGAACGCUGGCGGCGUGCUUAAGACAUGCAAGUCGAACGCAGCCGCUCCGCAAGGGGUGGCUGAGUGGCGAAUGGGUGCGUAACACGUAGGUGACCUGCCCGGAAGUGGGGGAAUAACAGUUCGAAAGGACUGCUAAUACCGCAUGCGGUGCACGGGUUUUGAAGCCGUGUUCCAAAGGCACGAGCAAUCGUGCCGCUUUCGGAGGGGCCUGCGGCCCAUCAGCUAGUUGGCAGGGUAACGGCCUACCAAGGCGACGACGGGUAGGGGACCUGAGAGGGUCGACCCCCCACACUGGCACUGACACACGGGCCAGACUCCUACGGGAGGCAGCAGUCGGGAAUAUUGCCCAAUGGACGAAAGUCUGAGGCAGCAACGCCGCGUGCGCGAUGAAGGCCUUCGGGUCGUAAAGCGCUUUUCGGGUGGAUGAGAGCGGACAGUACACCCGGAAUCAGGUACGGCUAACUACGUG
rnacentral:rRNA from 1 species